rnacentral:rRNA from 1 species
GCGAAGGGGGGACGGAGAAGGCUAUGUUAGCCGGGCGACGGUUGUCCCGGUUUAAGCAUGUAGGCUGGUUGUCCAGGCAAAUCCGGAUAAUCAAGGCUGAGGUGUGAUGACGAGGCACUACGGUGCUGAAGUAACAAAUGCCCUGCUUCCAGGAAAAGCCUCUAAGCAUCAGGUAACAUCAAAUCGUACCCCAAACCGACACAGGUGGUCAGGUAGAGAAUACCAAGGCGCUUGAGAGAACUCGGGUGAAGGAACUAGGCAAAAUGGUGCCGUAACUUCGGGAGAAGGCACGCUGGUGUGUAGGUGAA